AUACGGAGGGUGCAAGCGUUACUCGGAAUCACUGGGCGUAAAGCGCGCGCAGGCGGCUAUUUAAGUUGGAUGUGAAAGCCUACGGCUCAACCGUAGAACUGCAUCCAAAACUAUUUAGCUAGAGUGUGGGAGAGGAAGAUGGAAUUAGUUGUGUAGGGGUAAAAUCCGUAGAGAUAACUAGGAAUACCAAAAGCGAAGGCAAUCUUCUGGAACACUACUGACGCCGAGGCGCGAAAGCGUGGGGAGCAAACAGGAUUAGAAACCCUAGUAGUCC
rnacentral:rRNA from 1 species